rnacentral:rRNA from 1 species
GACGAACGCUGGCGGCGUGCUUAAUACAUGCAAGUCGAACGGAAAGGCCCUGCUUUUGUGGGGUGCUCGAUUGGCGAACGGGUGAGUAACGCGUGAGUAACCUGCCCUUGACUUUGGGAUAACUUCAGGAAACUGGGGCUAAUACCGGAUAGGAGCUCCUGCUGCAUGGGGGGGGUUGGAAAGUGUCGGCGGUUGGGGAUGGACUCGCGGCUUAUCGGCUUGUUGGUGGGGUAGUGGCUUACCAAGGCUUUGACGGGUAGCCGGCCUGAGAGGGUGACCGGCCACCUUGGGCCUGCGAUACGGCCCAGACUCCUACGGGAGGCAGCAGUCGGGAAUCUUGCACAAUGGGCGGAAGCCUGAUGCAGAAACGCCCCGUGCGUGAUGACGGCCUUUGGGUUGUAAACCGCUUUCGCCUGUGCCGAAGAGUGAGUGACGGUAAUGGGUAAAGAAGCACCGGCUAACUACGUG